rnacentral:rRNA from 1 species
UGGGGAAUUUUGGACAAUGGGCGAAAGCCUGAUCCAGCAAUGCCGCGUGUGUGAAGAAGGCCUUCGGGUUGUAAAGCACUUUUGUCCGGAAAGAAAUCCUUGGCUCUAAUACAGUCGGGGGAUGACGGUACCGGAAGAAUAAGCACCGGCUAACUACGUGCCAGCAGCCGCGGUAAUACGUAGGGUGCAAGCGUUAAUCGGAAUUACUGGGCGUAAAGCGUGCGCAGGCGGUUUGCUAAGACCGAUGUGAAAUCCCCGGGCUCAACCUGGGAACUGCAUUGGUGACUGGCAGGCUAGAGUAUGGCAGAGGGGGGUAGAAUUCCACGUGUAGCAGUGAAAUGCGUAGAGAUGUGGAGGAAUACCGAUGGCGAAGGCAGCCCCCUGGGCCAAAUACUGACGCUCAUGCACGAAAAGCGUGGGGGAGCAAAACAGGAUUAGAUACCCUGGUAGUCCACGCCCUAAAACGAUGUCAACUAGUUGUUGGGGAUUCAUUUCCUUAGUAACGUAGCUAACGCGUGAAGUUGACCGCCUGGGGGAGUACGGUCGCAAGAUUAAAACUUAAAGGAAUUGACGGGGUCAUAGCUGUUUCCU